rnacentral:rRNA from 1 species
GACGAACGCUGGCGGCGUGCUUAACACAUGCAAGUUGAACGGAGCACAUUAAGUAGCAAUACGAGGUGUGCUUAGUAGCGGACGGGUGAGUAACGCGUGAGUAACCUACCUUUGUGAGGGGGACAACAGCUGGAAACGGCUGCUAAUACCGCAUAAGACCACGACCUCGAGUGGGGUUGAGGUAAAAGAUUUAUUGCACAAAGAUGGACUCGCGUCCCAUUAGCUAGUUGGUGAGGUAACGGCCCACCAAGGCGACGAUGGGUAGCCGACCUGAGAGGGUGAUCGGCCACACUGGAACUGAGACACGGUCCAGACUCCUACGGGAGGCAGCAGUGGGGAGUAUUGGGCAAUGGGCGAAAGCCUGACCCAGCAACGCCGCGUGAGGGAAGAAGGUCUUCGGAUUGUAAACCUCUGUCCUUGGGGACGAAAAAAUGACGGUACCCAAGGAGGAAGCCCCGGCUAACUACGUG